AUUGAACGCUGGCGGCAGGCCUAACACAUGCAAGUCGAGCGGAGCGGCGGACGGGUGAGUAAUGUAUGGGGAUCUGCCCGAUAGAGGGGGAUAACUACUGGCAACGGUGGCUAAUACCGCAUACUAUUGGAGCGGCCGAUAUCGGAUUAGCUAGUUGGUGAGGUAACGGCUCACCAAGGCGACGAUCCGUAGCUGGUUUGAGAGGACGACCAGCCAAACUGGGACUGAGACACGGCCCAGACUCCUACGUGAGGCAGCAGUGGGGAAUUUUGGACAAUGGGGGCAACCCUGAUCCAGCCAUCCCGCGUGUGCGAUGAAGGCCUUCGGGUUGGAAAGCACUUUUGGCAGGAAAGCGGUACCUGCAGAAUAAGCACCGGCUAACUCCGUGCCAGCAGCCGCGGUAAUAC
rnacentral:rRNA from 1 species